GCCUGACCCAGCCUUCUCUACAGUUGUCUACCUUGGCUGUAUCCUUGCUGCAUUAUUCAGGGCAUUCAGGCAGAAUAAGGCCAGAGAAGAAAGAAACUAGUGCGGAAGAAAAAGUCAUGGACUCCUUCUUUGCGGAAUCAAGGGAGAAAUCAUCUUCCCUGGUCAGCAUCUCUUGGAAUCUGUGCUUGGUCAGCGGAGUUGAAUGUGAACAUAGGAGUCAUCCUGUCACCAGAAGGACCAUCCAGGACCCUAUCCUGCAUUUACUUCAGGAAUCAAGAUCACUGUAUAUUCUGAAAGGUUCUGUGGCCUCCUUAAUGCCAAUGCCAUGUAAGAAGUGUCUUUCACCUCCCACCGUGAUUCUGAGGCCUCCCC